GGGGGGAACGCUGGAUCUUAGGCUGUGUCCCCUGGGGCCCUGUGCUCCGGGGCCUGAGCUGCUGGAAUCCUGCUUUUGGAGCCAAGCAGCCCCCC
rnacentral:pre_miRNA from 1 species